ACUGCUCAGUAACACGUGGACAACCUGCCCUUAGGUUGGGUAUAAACCCGGGAAACUGGGUAUAAUACCCGAUAGGUCUCGAUUGCUGGAAUGCAUCGAGAUUUAAAGCUCCGGCGCCUAAGGAUGGGUCUGCGGCCUAUCAGGUAGUAGUGGGUGUAGCGUACCUACUAGCCUACGACGGGUACGGGUUGUGAGAGCAAGAGCCCGGAGAUGGAUUCUGAGACACGAAUCCAGGCCCUACGGGGUGCAGCAGGCGCGAAAACUUUACAAUGCUGGCAACAGCGAUAAGGGAACCUCGAGUGCCAGGUUACAAAUCUGGCUGUCGAGAUGCCUAAAAAGCAUUUCAUAGCAAGGGCCGGGCAAGACCGGUGCCAGCCGCCGCGGUAACACCGGCGGCUCGAGUGGUAACCGUUAUUAUUGGGUCUAAAGGGUCUGUAGCCGGCCGGAUAAGUCUCUUGAGAAAUCUGGCAGCUUAACUGUCAGGCUUUCAGGAGAUACCGUCUGGCUCGAGGCCGGGAGAGGUGAGAGGUACUUCAGGGGUAGGGGUGAAAUCUUGUAAUCCUUGAAGGACCACCAGUGGCGAAGGCGUCUCACCAGAACGGACCUGACGGCAAGGGACGAAAGCUAGGGGCACGAACCGGAUUAGAUACCCGGGUAGUCCUAGCCGUAAACGAUACUCGCUAGGUGUCGGCCACGGUGCGACCGUUGUCGGUGCCGUAGGGAAGCCGUGAAGCGAGCCACCUGGGAAGUACGGCCGCAAGGCUGAAACUUAAAGGAAUUGGCGGGGGAGCAC
rnacentral:rRNA from 1 species